rnacentral:tRNA from 1 species
GAGGGUAUAGCUCAGUGGUAGAGUGAGUGCUUAGCAUGCAAGAGGUCCUGGGUUCAAUCCCCAGUGUCUCCA